UACAGAGGGUGCAAGCGUUGUUCGGAAUUACUGGGCGUAAAGCGCGUGUAGGCGUUCCAAUAAGUCGGUCGUGAAAUCCCUUGGCUUAACCAAGGAACUGCGUUCGAAACUACUGGGCUUGAGUAUCGGAGGGGAUGGCGGAAUUCCCGGUGUAGAGGUGAAAUUCGUAGAUAUCGGGAGGAACACCUGUGGCGAAGGCGGCCAUCUGGAAGAUAACUGACGCUGAGACGCGAAAGCGUGGGGAGCAAACAGG
rnacentral:rRNA from 1 species